UACAGAGGUCUCAAGCGUUGUUCGGAUUCAUUGGGCGUAAAGGGUGCGUAGGUGGCGCGCUAAGUCGGGUGUGAAAUUUCGGAGCUUAACUCCGAAACUGCAUUCGAUACUGGCGUGCUUGAGGACUGGAGAGGAGACUGGAAUUUACGGUGUAGCAGUGAAAUGCGUAGAUAUCAGGAGGAACACCGGUGGUGUAGACGGCUUUCUGGACCAUAACUGACGCUGAGACACGAAAAGCGUGGGUAGCAAACAGG
rnacentral:rRNA from 1 species